rnacentral:misc_RNA from 1 species
GAAAUGCGAUAAGUAAUGUGAAUUGCAGAAUUCAGUGAAUCAUCGAAUCUUUGAACGCACAUUGCGCCCGCCAGUAUUCUGGCGGGCAUGCCUGUCCGAGCGUCAUUUCAACCAUCAAGCCCCCGGGCUUGUGUUGGGGACCUGCGGCUGCCCGCAGGCCCUGAAAACCAGUGGCGGGCUCGCUGUCACACCGAGCGUAGUAGCAAUCACCUCGCUCAGGGCGUGCUGCGGGUUCCGGCCGUUAAAAAGCCUUACAAAACCCAAGGUUGACCUCGGAUCAGGUAGGAAGACCCGCUGAACUUAAGC